GCGGCCGCGCGGACGGCGUGCCGGCGCUGACGUCACUCCGUUGGUUUCCAAUAUGUCAUUCAUAUUCCUCAGACCUGCGUUCGCAUUCGAGUAGUAAAAGCAGUUCCGUUACCAAAACGGAGACGAGUCACGUGGUGCCCAAACGCAUCUCAGCUGCCUCAUUCCUGCCCCCCGCAGCGCUCGCCUGUGAAAGGCAGGCCGGCUGCACGUGCCCGGCCGGUGCUAAGCCUGGUGGUUUGGUGCAGUGCACGGUGCGAGCUCCAGUUCACCGGAACGCAUCCCCACGUGGCCCUGUUAAGGUGAAAGCGGCGGUGUGCUGGGUUUUGUCACCGGAUCGCCACCAGCUGACUAAAAUAAUUGCACAAUAAUUGUAAGGCACAUUUCCUAAGCAGAGAAGCUUUAGCCUCUCAGUGUGACAAACCAUGAAUGCCACGAGGAAACUGGAGAUCAAAGGAGAACAUGGAUGCCAAACAAAACCAGAGCUAUGCAUUUUCCUUAAAUUGGUAACAAAACCAGAUGGGCACGGAAAGACCAGAGACCUCAGGGGCGGAAGUUUCCAAGGACAAUGCAAGCUCCACAACUGUCACAAGGCCGCAGUAGUCCUCUUGGUGACUUUGGCAGGUUGAACUGCCUCACCAGAGAUGCACAGCUGCCACUCCAUGGUCAUAAUGAAGGAGGCUGCGGCUGUUUGCAUGUAUGCUCACCUCACAUAAAGCCAACAGGAGCACAUGGCUGCUCCUCAAAACCACCCCAACACAUGCUCCACGCAGCCCACAGCACAGCCUGUGCUUGCAGGAGUCCACCCAGCCCCGUCAAAGGGAAGCAGCGCAGCCACAGCACAUUCCACUUCAUACCAAGUCACUUUUAAUUCAGUUACAGUCUUCCAUUACCGAGGAAAUAAAUGUGGGAGGAAACAAAGGACAGACACAGAGAAGCAAAACAGGGGUAGCAAGUAGGAGAUAUAUGCUUACUGCAUCGCGCUUGGCUCCAUGGGGCUUUAGAAGGGCUGUCAUAUAUCAUGACAUUUAUCAUUUCUUGCAUGUACUACGAUGAGAAGUCCAUUACAAUAUCGAUCAUUUUAUUCUGCUCAACUCUAUGACAUCUAAUAUUCAGCAUAGCUGAAAAAGCUUACAAGUGAUUUAGAAAUAGCUGCACUGGGAAAACUGAGGAAGAAAUCGGAGUCAACAUGGUUUCCCUUAAUGGAAUUCUCUUUCUAGUAAGCUUUUACAAAACUUAGGAAAUUGCAUUUCAAACAUGGUUAAAGCUACAGCAUGGUUGCAGCCAAGCUAUCAGAAGUUACAGACAUAAUAAAGAUUUCCUAUGCAAUCUUAAUUUUCACACUGACAUGAUGAUACAACCUUCAGCUGUGUUGCUGUCAUGUACCCGUCCACAAUUCCUGCCCCAGAGAACUCCAGGAGAAACUCUUUAAAGGCACCAGAGCACUUACACUUCCUUGACGUCAGAAAUAACACCUACAGACCUGAAAGUACACUUGUUUCCAUUGAACCUAGAGCAACUGCAGUGAGCAGGCUGGGGGACCCAGGUGAUGCCAGCUCUUGUCACCAGGACACUGCUAGCAAUACCUGGUGGAAUCCCAGCAUCACAGCUGCAGGGACUGAGAUGUUCUGCAGCCACAGAUCCUCUCAGCCUCACCUCCUUAUUGCAGGCUUUGGAUCCACUGAUCCUGCCAUGGGUGGCACUAGGAGUUUUCUUCAUUCUCCUUUAGUAUACAGUCUGUUCCAUCCAGGCCUCGCCUGCAGCACAUUAUUUACGCAGAGCAGCCCAAGGCCUGCAUCAGAAGGUCCUUCAGCACUGGAGAAAGCUGUGUGCUGGAGGGAAGCCAAGGGAGGCUGACGACCAAGCCUGCAUGCUAAUGGCAGCAUCUGCCGCUGCUGCUCUAACUCUUCUGAAGCCUCACAUUUCGCUUCCAAGGGAUCCAUUGUUUGUUAGGGCCCCAUUUCAGAGAUCCAACUCUAAAAUGGAGGAAUGACCAACAAGGAAGGCAAUCAGGUGUCACAAAAUUACACAGAUAGAUUACACCUGGCAUUAGCAUCACAAGAGUAACAUCUGAGCUCAUCUAAAGUUUCUCCUUAUUUCUUUAUUAAAUACCCUAAGAGCUGUACCAAUGUGUACAGAGCCUAAACAUUUGGUAUGAAUGAGCCUUGAGCAUGAAAUAACUAGCUCAAAGUCAGUCCCUUUAUAUUAAAAAGGAAUUUAAACCGUAUGGUGAGUUUUUGUGCAUGCAGAUGAGGUUCAGACAUGGCUCUGCUCGUGCCCGGAUGUGUUGUAUGUGCCUAGAUCUCAGCUGGUUGUUUGCAGUGCAAGGUAGUAGAAGCUGGCUUCUUGCAGCAACUUGGAUCAUACCAACAAUUUACAGACCAUCGUACAUACUAGGGUGAGGGCCUCAGUGUCACAGGAGCUAGAUGCUGAGUAUGUGGGCCAACAUGCGGAUACUCUGGGGAAAGAGGGAGGAAGGAAAGCCAGGGUUUAAGGAAGAUGCUUCUUCCAUUGAGUUAUAUGGCCCUGAUGCAGGGAUGAGCAGAAAGAGCUGUCUCCUUCCUUACCUGCCUUCAUAUGGGAUAUGAGUCAGAGCCACACCUUGAAAGAGAGCGAGGACAAUCUGUGUACCAGCUACAAUUCAAAGACAUACAGUAUCCAUUCCAAAUUUUUUUGCCUGCCUUGCCAAUAUUUAGGCCAGUCCUUACCAAAUCAGGGUCACUAGUCCUUGAAUAGGGUACGAACUGAGUUCUAGCAAGUCAGUAUAUGGUGCACUUUGUACUGCUUUGCAGCAACUUUUUUGAUCCAAGAUCCUAUCAGCACUCCCAGUUGCUGGCAUGUCUUAUGCACAGAUUGCACCUCCACCUGCUCUGCCUUCUGGAUCAUUUGCCAAAAAAAAAAAAAAAAGUGUCUAAAAGCC